rnacentral:rRNA from 1 species
UUGGAGGGCAAGUCUGGUGCCAGCAGCCGCGGUAAUUCCAGCUCCAAUAGCGUAUAUUAAAGUUGUUGCAGUUAAAAAGCUCGUAGUUGAAUUUCGGGAUCAAUAUGUCGGUCGUGCUUUUUUGGUACGCACUGGCGUCAUUGGUUUCUCCUUUCUGACGAACCAUGAUGUCAUUAAUUUGGUGUUAUGGGGAGUUAGGACUGUUACUUUGAAAAAAUUAGAGUGUUUAAAGCAGGCAUUAGCUUGAAUACAUUAGCAUGGAAUAAUGAAAUAGGACGUUCGAUCCUAUUUUGUUGGUUUCUAGGAUCAACGUAAUGAUUAAUAGGGAUAGUUGGGGGCAUUAGUAUUCAAUUGUCAGAGGUGAAAUUCUUGGAUUUAUUGAAGACUAACUACUGCGAAAGCAUUUGCCAAGGAUGUUUUCAUUAAUCAAGAACGAAAGUUAGGGGAUCGAAGACGAUCAGAUACCGUCGUAGUCUUAACCAUAAACUAUGCCGACUAGGGAUCGGAUGAUGUUAAUUUUAUAAUGACUCAUUCGGCGCCUUACGGGAAAC